rnacentral:rRNA from 1 species
GUGGGGAAUCUUCCGCAAUGGACGAAAGUCUGACGGAGCAACGCCGCGUGAGUGAUGACGGUCUUCGGAUUGUAAAGCUCUGUUAAUCGGGACGAAAGAGCUCUGUGUGAAUAAUGCAGAGAAGUGACGGUACCGGAAUAGAAAGCCACGGCUAACUACGUGCCAGCAGCCGCGGUAAUACGUAGGUGGCAAGCGUUGUCCGGAAUUAUUGGGCGUAAAGCGCGCGCAGGCGGGUUUUUAAGUCUGUCUUAAAAGUUCGGGGCUUAACCCCGUGAGGGGAUGGAAACGGGAAACCUAGAGUAUCGGAGAGGAAAGCGGAAUUCCUAGUGUAGCGGUGAAAUGCGUAGAUAUUAGGAAGAACACCAGUGGCGAAGGCGGCUUUCUGGACGAAAACUGACGCUGAGGCGCGAAAGCCAGGGGAGCAAACGGGAUUAGAAACCCUAGUAGUCC